AGUGUGUAGUGUCUGAAAACAACCAUGCUUCUAGCUUUUAUCAAUUUGUCACUUUCUUUGACUAUAGGUUGUUUCUUAGUGGCUCUCGUCCCAUUUGGUCACUUUCUGGUGCUUUGGUCAAA